AGCAGCCGCGGUAAUUCCAGCUCCAAUAGCGUAUAUUAAAGUUGUUGCAGUUAAAAAGCUCGUAGUUGAAUUUCGGGAUUCGUCCAUUGGUCAGGCUUAACUGUCUGUACUGGUGUGUCGGAUUUCUACCUUCUGAAGAACCUUCAUGCCAUUAAUUUGGUGUGUUUGGGGAAUCAGGACUGUUACUUUGAAAAAAUUAGAGUGUUUAAAGCAGGCUAACGUCUGAAUACAUUAGCAUGGAAUAAUGAAAUAGGACGGUACGGUUCUAUUUUGUUGGUUUCUAGGAUCGCCGUAAUGAUUAAUAGGGAUAGUUGGGGGCAUUAGUAUUCAAUUGUCAGAGGUGAAAUUCUUGGAUUUAUUGAAGACUAACUACUGCGAAAGCAUUUGCCAAGGAUGUUUUCAUUAAUCAAGAACGAAAGUUAGGGGAUCGAAGACGAUCAGAUACCGUCGUAGUCCUAACCAUAAACUAUGCCGACUAGGGAUUGGACGAUGUUAAUUUUUUAAUUGUACUCG
rnacentral:rRNA from 1 species